UACGGAGGGGGCUAGCGUUGUUCGGAAUUACUGGGCGUAAAGCGCACGUAGGCGGCUUUGUAAGUCAGGGGUGAAAUCCUGGAGCUCAACUCCAGAACUGCCUUUGAUACUGAAGAUCUUGAGUUCGGGGAGAGGUGAGUGGAACUGCGAGUGUAGAGGUGAAAUUCGUAGAUAUUCGCAAGAACACCAGUGGCGAAGGCGGCUCACUGGCCCGAUACUGACGCUGAGGCACGAAAGCGUGGGGAGCAAACAGG
rnacentral:rRNA from 1 species